AUUGAACGCUGGCGGCAUGCCUUACACAUGCAAGUCGAACGGCAGCGCGGACUUCGGUCUGGCGGCGAGUGGCGAACGGGUGAGUAAUACAUCGGAACGUACCCUGUUGUGGGGGAUAACUAGUCGAAAGAUUAGCUAAUACCGCAUACGACCUGAGGGUGAAAGUGGGGGACCGCAAGGCCUCACGCAGCAGGAGCGGCCGAUGUCUGAUUAGCUAGUUGGUGGGGUAAAGGCCCACCAAGGCGACGAUCAGUAGCUGGUCUGAGAGGACGAUCAGCCACACUGGGACUGAGACAUAGCCCAGACGCCUACGGGAGGCAGCAGUGGGGAAUUUUGGACAAUGGGGGCAACCCUGAUCCAGCAAUGCCGCGUGUGUGAAGAAGGCCUUCGGGUUGUAAAGCACUCUUGUCCGGAAAGAAAUCGCGCUGGUUAAUACCUGGCGUGGAUGACGGUACCGGAAGAAUAAGCACCGGCUAACUACGUGCCAGCAGCCGCAGUAA
rnacentral:rRNA from 1 species